AUAAGCACUUAUACCGUGAAACUGCGAAUGGCUCAUUAAAUCAGUUAUCGUUUAUUUGAUAGUACCUUACUACUUGGAUAACCGUGGUAAUUCUAGAGCUAAUACAUGCUAAAAACCCCGACUUCGGAAGGGGUGUAUUUAUUAGAUAAAAAACCAAUGCCCUUCGGGGCUCCUUGGUGAUUCAUAAUAACUUAACGAAUCGCAUGGCCUUGCGCCGGCGAUGGUUCAUUCAAAUUUCUGCCCUAUCAACUUUCGAUGGUAGGAUAGUGGCCUACCAUGGUAUCAACGGGUAACGGGGAAUUAGGGUUCUAUUCCGGAGAGGGAGCCUGAGAAACGGCUACCACAUCCAAGGAAGGCAGCAGGCGCGCAAAUUACCCAAUCCCGACGCGGGGAGGUAGUGACAAUAAAUACUGAUACAGGGCUCUUUUGGGUCUUGUAAUUGGAAUGAGUACAAUUUAAAUCCCUUAACGAGGAACAAUUGGAGGGCAAGUCUGGUGCCAGCAGCCGCGGUAAUUCCAGCUCCAAUAGCGUAUAUUAAAGUUGUUGCAGUUAAAAAGCUCGUAGUUGAACCUUGGGUCUGGCUGACCGGUCCGCCUCACCGCGUGCACUGGUUCGGCCGGACCUUUCCUUCUGGGGAUCCGCAUGCCCUUCACUGGGCGUGUCGGGGAACCAGGACUUUUACUUUGAAAAAAUUAGAGUGUUCAAAGCAGGCCUUUGCUCGAAUACAUUAGCAUGGAAUAAUAGAAUAGGACGUGCGGUUCUAUUUUGUUGGUUUCUAGGACCGCCGUAAUGAUUAAUAGGGAUAGUCGGGGGUAUCAGUAUUCAAUUGUCAGAGGUGAAAUUCUUGGAUUUAUUGAAGACUAACUACUGCGAAAGCAUUUACCAAGGAUGUUUUCAUUAAUCAGUGAACGAAAGUUAGGGGAUCGAAGACGAUCAGAUACCGUCGUAGUCUUAACCGUAAACGAUGCCGACUAGGGAUCGGGCGAUGUUAUCAUUUUGACUCGCUCGGCACCUUACGAGAAAUCAAAGUUUU
rnacentral:rRNA from 1 species